CAGUAGCCGCGGUAAUACGAAGGGGGCUAGCGUUGCUCGGAAUGACUGGGCGUAAAGGGCGCGUAGGCGGUCACGAUAGUCAGAUGUGAAAUUCCUGGGCUUAACCUGGGGACUGCAUUUGAUACUGUGUGGCUUGAGUGUGGAAGAGGGUCGUGGAAUUCCCAGUGUAGAGGCGAAAUUCGUAGAUAUUGGGAAGAACACCGGUGGCGAAGGCGGCGACCUGGUCCAUAACUGACGCUCAUGCACGAAAGCGUGGGGAGCAAACAGGAUUAGAUACCCCUGUAGUCCCUGUCUCUUAUAC
rnacentral:rRNA from 1 species